CCGUUGCCGGCGUGCUAUACAUGCAAGUCGAACGCACUCUCGUUUAGAUUGAAGGAGCUUGCUCCUGAUUGAUAAACAUUUGAGUGAGUGGCGGACGGGUGAGUAACACGUGGGUAACCUGCCCUAAAGUGGGGGAUAACAUUUGGAAACAGAUGCUAAUACCGCAUAAAACCUAACACCGCAUGGUGUAGGGUUGAAAGAUGGUUUCGGCUAUCACUUUAGGAUGGACCCGCGGUGCAUUAGUUAGUUGGUGAGGUAAAGGCUCACCAAGACCGUGAUGCAUAGCCGACCUGAGAGGGUAAUCGGCCACACUGGGACUGAGACACGGCCCAGACUCCUACGGGAGGCAGCAGUAGGGAAUCUUCCACAAUGGACGAAAGUCUGAUGGAGCAACGCCGCGUGAGUGAAGAAGGUUUUCGGAUCGUAAAACUCUGUUGUUGGAGAAGAAUGUAUCUGAUAGUAACUGAUCAGGUAGUGACGGUAUCCAACCAGAAAGCCACGGCUAACUACGUGCCAGCAGCCGCGGUAAUACGUAGGUGGCAAGCGUUGUCCGGAUUUAUUGGGCGUAAAGCGAGCGCAGGCGGUUUCUUAAGUCUGAUGUGAAAGCCUUCGGCUCAACCGAAGAAGUGCAUCGGAAACUGGGAAACUUGAGUGCAGAAGAGGACAGUGGAACUCCAUGUGUAGCGGUGAAAUGCGUAGAUAUAUGGAAGAACACCAGUGGCGAAGGCGGCUGUCUGGUCUGUAACUGACGCUGAGGCUCGAAAGCAUGGGUAGCAAACAGGAUUAGAUACCCUGGUAGUCCAUGCCGUAAACGAUGAGUGCUAGGUGUUGGAGGGUUUCCGCCCUUCAGUGCCGCAGCUAACGCAUUAAGCACUCCGCCUGGGGAGUACGACCGCAAGGUUGAAACUCAAAGGAAUUGACGGGGGCCCGCACAAGCGGUGGAGCAUGUGGUUUAAUUCGAAGCAACGCGAAGAACCUUACCAGGUCUUGACAUCCUUUGACCACUCUAGAGAUAGAGCUUUCCCUUCGGGGACAAAGUGACAGUGGUGAA
rnacentral:rRNA from 2 species